AGAACGAACGCUGGCGGCGUGCUUAAGCAUGCAAGUCGUGCGGCAAGGCGGGGCAACCCGCCCUAGAGCGGCGGACUGGUGAGUAACGCGUGGGUGAUCUGCCCUUGGGAUGGGGAUAGCCACUAGAAAUAGUGGGUAAUACCGAAUACGUUCGCUAGGUUACGGCCUAGCGAGGAAAAGCGCUUCGGCGCUGCCCGAGGAUGAGCCCGCGUCCCAUUAGCUAGUUGGUGAGGUAAAGGCCCACCAAGGCGAUGAUGGGUAGCCGGCCUGAGAGGGUGUACGGCCACACUGGGACUGAGAUACGGCCCAGACUCCUACGGGAGGCAGCAGCUAAGAAUAUUCCGCAAUGGACGAAAGUCUGACGGAGCGACGCCGCGUGGAAUGACGAAGGCCGAAAGGUUGUAAAGUCCUUUUGUUGGGGAAGAAUAAGCAUGGGAGGAAAUGCCCGUGUGAUGACAUGAACCGACGAAUAAGCCCCGGCUAACUACGUGCCAGCAGCCGC
rnacentral:rRNA from 1 species